rnacentral:rRNA from 1 species
CCCCUAGUAACUGCGAGUGAAGCGGGAAAAGCUCAAAUUUAAAAUCUGGCAGCCUYUGGUUGUCCGAGUUGUAAUCUAGAGAAGYGUUAUCCGCGCUGGACCGUGUACAAGUCUCCUGGAAUGGAGCGUCAUAGAGGGUGAGAAUCCCGUCUUUGACACGGACUGCCAGGGCUUUGUGAUGCGCUCUCRAAGAGUCGAGUUGUUUGGGAAUGCAGCUCAAAAUGGGUGGUAAAUUCCAUCUAAAGCUAAAUAUUGGCGAGAGACCGAUAGCGAACAAGUACCGUGAGGGAAAGAUGAAAAGAACUUUGGAAAGAGAGUUAAACAGUACGUGAAAUUGCUGAAAGGGAAACGCUUGAAGUCAGUCGCGUUGUCCAGGGAUCAACCUUGCUUUUGCUUGGUGCACUUUCUGGUUGACGGGUCAGCAUCAAUUUUGACUAUUGGAAAAAGAUUAGGGGAAUGUAGCAUCUUUGGAUGUGUUAUAGCCCUUAGUUGCAUACAAUGGUUGGGAUUGAGGAACUCAGCACGCCGCAAGGCCGGGUUUUUAACCACGUACGUGCUUAGGAUGCUGGCAUAAUGGCUUUAAUCGACCCGUCUUGAAACACGGACCAAGGAGUCUAACAUGCCUGCGAGUGUUUGGGUGGAAAACCCGAGCGCGUAAUGAAAGUGAAAGUUGAGAUCCCUGUCGUGGGGAGCAUCGACGCCCGGACCAGACCUUUUGUGACGGUUCCGCGGUAGAGCAUGUAUGUUGGGACCCGAAAGAUGGUGAACUAUGCCUGAAUAGGGUGAAGCCAGAGGAAACUCUGGUGGAGGCUCGUAGCGAUUCUGACGUGCA